rnacentral:rRNA from 1 species
CACGUAGGGCGCAAGCGUUGUCCGGAAUUAUUGGGCGUAAAGAGCUCGUAGGCGGUCUGUUACGUCUGCUGUGAAAACCCGGGGCUUAACCCUGGGCUUGCAGUGGAUACGGGCAGACUAGAGGCAGGUAGGGGAGAAUGGAAUUCCCGGUGUAGCGGUGAAAUGCGCAGAUAUCGGGAGGAACACCGGUGGCGAAGGCGGCGACCUGGGUCGAGACUGACGCUGAGGCGCGAAAGCGUGGGGAGCAAACAGG